UACAUAUAUUACAUUAUAUUGUAGUUAAGCCUAUUCUUAUUUAUUUAGAAAUGUAAGUCAUAUUUUGAAUUCAUGUGAAGUUAUUUUUCGUUAGACAAAAUGUUUUAUAUUGUUUAUUGUGAAUUUGGUUUCAACAUUUAUUUUAUUUUUGUAACAUGUUUUGGUGUGAAUGUGAAAUAUGAACCUUGUAGCUGUAGGUUUCAGGAAACUGACGUAACUGAGAAAUAUGUACCGUUUUAUACUGUUGUGUCAAUAUUAAAUGAGCACCGGCUAGAGCAAGACGCUAACUUUGGCUCUCUCCCUUAUUAAUCCACAGUCCACAGACCAUGUUUUUAUCGGCUACACAGUGCGCCCUUGCCUGUGUAACCUUUGCUGCCGAUCCAGAUUUCCCCUAUGUCUGACCAGGAACUGGCAAACUCAAUCUAGUGCAGUCCACCAGGUUAAGUAGAGGGGUUCCCAGGGGAAGAGACUAAGUGCAGUUUUGCCUGUUUUUGGGGAAAAACAUAUUUUAGAGUAAACUCAAAUGAAUUUCUAUUUGACCGUAUAUUAUUAUUUAAUAUUGCUGUCCUUUGGAGUGUUUUGUAAGAGAUAAUUGAUAUUGUUUUCUUGAGUAGGUGGAGUCCACCUGUAUAAAAGGGAGAAGUCUGAGGUGACUCCAGGCUUUUGGUCAUACAGAGACAGAUACAGCUUCAGUCUGCAGCUCCUGCCUUGGGCCUAAUCUCAGGGGGCAUAGCCAAAGUGCAGUUUAGAGUUGAUUUCUUUUUUUUGUUGUUGUUGUGUAUUCUCCUAUUUUUGAGAAAGGGGUUAUUUUUGGUUAGUUAGUUAUUUUUAUUUUUUUAUUUUUCUUUCCACUUUGGCCAGAUAUUUAUGUCCACUGUAAGUAUCUGCAUGAGGCUCCACUGACGGCAAAUAAAAUUCACUUGGACUGCUGAA